GUCAAAAGUGAAUCAUCAGAUCAUCCAUGCAUGGAUAAUGAAGAUCAUAAUGAUUUUGACAUUGGCCAUGUGAGACAAAGUUCCUGGGCAAGUGAAAUGGAGCGAUACACAGUGAAUGUAGAACUACUUGAUUCAGAUGAUGAACAAAGGAGCAAUGCUCCAUGGAGUACUUCCUGUAACCAGCCAUGGCCUAUGACCACUACCUGGCCAUCUGCUGCCCUCUGCAUUAUGAAGCCAUCAUGAGCAACCUGUUAUCCAUGAAGCUGG
rnacentral:lncRNA from 1 species